CUAAGAAUAUUCCGCAAUGGACGGAAGUCUGACGGAGCGACGCCGCGUGGAUGACGAAGGCCGAAAGGUUGUAAAGUUCUUUUGCUGAGGAAGAAUAACCGCAGGAGGGAAUGCCUGUGGGAUGACAAGAACCGGCGAAUAAGCCCCGGCCAACUACGUGCCAGCAGCCGCGGUAACACGUAGGGGGCGAGCGUUGUUCGGAAUUACUGGGCGUAAAGGGCAUGUAGGCGGCUUGGAAAGCCUGGCGUGAAAGUCUGCAGCUUAACUGCAGGGGUGCGCUGGGAACUGCUGAGCUUGAGUGACGGAGAGGGAGCUGGAAUUCCUGGUGUAGGGGUGAAAUCUGUAGAUAUCAGGAAGAACACCGAUGGCGAAGGCAAGCUCCUGGCCGAUGACUGACGCUGGGGUGCGAAAGUGUGGGGAUCAAACAGGAUUAGAUACCCUGGUAGUGCCACACAGUCAACGAUGUGCACUAGGUGCUGGGGCGGUAGCUUCGGUGCCGGAGCGAACGUGGU
rnacentral:rRNA from 1 species